AAGAGUUUUCUUCUCCAUUUUUUUUCCCAACGCUGCAGCCGCUCACUUCCCCUUCACCCUCGUCUACCACAGCCGGUGUUUCACCGGCACCACAGCAGCACCUCCACCAGACCUCCACUUCACCCAUCGCAGCCACCGAACCAGCUCCCCCUCAGCCGUUCCUCCGUCCCUUGGCUAAACCACCACAACUCCCCCUCUUGGUCCUCUGAUUUUCUCUACCCGGCCGGCCAAACGACAGCAGCAACAAGAUCUGCCAUCGGCAGAAGAAGAAACCCACCGCUGGAAACAGAGAACAACGGGGAAACAACAGCAGCGACGACCCCAUCCUCGUGCAGCAACGCCGUGUUCCCCCAGCAGCGCCACCCCCUCGCGGCCGUCACACCUUCUCGCCGCCCGAUCUACCACCUGAAACAGAGGAGAAGACAAACCGACCCGCCUGAAACAGAGAAGGGAGGAAGAAAGAAGACCGGAGCAGAUCUGGAGAAGAAGAAGGAAAACAGAUCUGUAAAAAAAAAAAAACUAAAACCAACUGCCUUGUGUAUCUUUGGAUCUUUGCAGGUGACGGUGACUCCCACCGCCGGCGUGGGAAGACAGAAGGAGGCGAUCCAGAACCCCUCUGCUGCUGGAUUUUUUUUGGUGGCGAGGUGCGUGAGAUCCACACGCCACCACUGUUCCUGCACCCAGAAAUCCUGCCAAACACUGUUCCGGAUUCAUCCCUGUAAUUUCAGUCGAUUUUGGGGUUAAUUUUGUAAUUGUAAAAUUGUUUAAUGUAAUAUUUGUGUAAUUUUGAGUUUAUUUUUUUUAUAGUUUGUAUUUUUAUGUAAAGGUAAAAGUAAAAGAAAAAGAAAAGAAAAGAGGAAGUGAUAAAUAAAAAAAAAAAGGAAAUGUUUGUGUGUGUUUGUAUUUUUUUUUUAUGUAUGUUAUUUGAAAUAAAAAAAAAGAAUUUAACUUAUAUACUCAAAUAUCUAAAGGACAGAUAAAAAUUAUGUUGAAUUUUCCAUGGAAAUGUAGAACAUGUAUCUACAUAUAGUCUGGAAAAGUAAUAACUGAUUUAUCAAAGCCUUAGAAUUGAGCUAAAAUUUUGUUUUUUUAAAUCACAUGAAGCUUGAAAGUGAAUGUGGUGUGUAUUUUUGUUUAUGAAUGUUUUUUUAUUAUGAUAAAAUUGCAAGAAUAAAGAAGAAUUUAAUAUUCAGAUUUAAUCACGGAUAAAGAAUCAUGAACUUACAUGUAAGUUGUAUUUUUUAAAAUUCGAUGAAAGAACAUAAUUUUUAAAACUUCUUUAACACAUCAAGUCCACAAAGCAGCUUACCUCAGGUAGGGUGUGUUAGGGGUGCGAAUACCUUCCCUAACCACAACCAGUUCCUUACCCGCGAUCUCUGACAAGGCCAGUACAUCAGGUUUCCUAGUAGCCCUCAAUGAAUUACUAGGUGGCGACUCCAAAGAACCAAAUCAGCAAAACAAAACGAAUAAUCGCCAGCCGAUGCCGCGCGCCGGAUUUUUCAUGGGUGCGACAGAAUGGCGACUCCACUGGGGAAGGUAUUGUUUUCAACAUUAUUGGACUAAGCUUUGUGUAUUUGAAGUGUAUGUUUUUGCAUUUUUAUGUUAUUUUAUUUUUGUUUUAUCCAUGUAUUUUGUAGAAUUGUUUCAUGCAUCACAUAGUUAAUUUUUUUUUUUAAAGCACACACACGCUUCAGGUUAGGAGGGGGACUAGGAGCUUACCUUACGACUUUUAGUCAAGGUUUAAGUUUGUGUAAACCCCAACUCUUCGUUGAGUGCCAAGAUUGGUAAAAGUUGGACAUGUGCCAUCUCACUGCCUACUGGCCCCUAUAUUGCCUUCAAGAGGGUAAUCACUGGGACAACGAGAGACCCUUUUUAGAGACCGAAUAGUAAACCUACCUUUUGUCUCACUUAAAAAGAUUAGAACCUGCCUGUAGGGUGUAUGCUCCGUAAAUAUUUGUUUUGCAUCCGAGCAAACCCUUCUUGAACUCAAGACUUGUGGGUGACACAUUGGCCGUCACUCCGAAAAUUUUCAUUGUAGAGUUUGGGCAAAAAUCAUGAUUAUUGUUCCAUCAUACAAGAGUUACGACCAUAUUGUCACCCCUCGAAGGGCGAGUUCAUCAUAUAGAUUACAUGUUCAUACAUUUAUCAUGCAUGUACCGGGUUGAAAGGUAGGUCCCCCGCACAAGCUGUGCUGCACGUGAUUGAAGAAAGAUGAUGGAAGUGAAGAAAAGUGUCGGAUAGAGGCUCAUUAUCAGAUUAAGGUUGAGAGCAUCAAAGGUGAAACAUCUAGAAUCAGAUUUGCUUGAACAAGUGUUGAGUAUUUAAAUGGAAAGAGAAUGUCUGCACAGUCUUCUGUGGGAACACUGCUUGGCCACGUUCAAUUAAAGCUGCCUCUCCUUUUCAGUCAUGAACAACAACAACAAUGCCUUCAGUCAUCAACUAAUGACAACUCUGAUUCUUGUCUAGUUGCACUGUUAAGUGUUCAUCGCCUCCACAUCAUCUAAUGGAACCAAACGACUACUAGCCGCUUGUACAUGGUGCAUUAGUCUUCUUUGAAGUUACCCUAAUUGUGAGCUUAAUUCCAGUUCAGCAGCACAAGGUGUUGGUCUGAAAACCCAUGAUCAGACACUGAACUUCUACGUGGUAAAGGUCUCUCUGUAGAAAUUUAUUUGGGGAUCUGCCAAUGGGAAAUGCCAAAGGGGAUGUAUUAAUUUCAUAUGCUUUGAAACUUUUUCCCACCAGUGGCACGAGCAAAACAUUGUAAUAGGCAGAGGAGUCAGGCCUGGUCUGAAAAUAUGAGUAGUCGUCGAACUUCAACGUGGCAGAGCUCUCUCUACAAAAAUCUGUUUAUGAUGCUGCAAGUUGAGAGUGCAAGAGAAGAUUUACUAAUUGUAUAUGCUACAAAUAUUUCUCUCAUCAGUUUCAGCACGAAGAAACUGUAGCAAGUUGAAGAGCCAGAUUUGGUUUGAAAACAUUGAGCAAACAUCAAACUUCAACAUUGCAUAGAUCUCUCGGCAGGAAUCUAUUUGUGGAUCUGUAAAUGGGAAAUCCAAGAAGGAAUACAGUAGUGAUUUCCUCCAACAGUGCCAGUAUUUAAAAUGCAAAAGUAGAAAGAAGAGACGUGCCUAGACCGAAAAACAUGAAGAAGACUGAAACUUCAACAAAGCAGAACUCCCUUUAUUGGUGCUUGUUUGCUGCAUCGUUCGAGAGGAAUCAAAGAAGAAAUAGAGGAGAUUCAUGUCCAUCAUCGUCUCCCAUAGAAGAGAUAAGGCAUGAUUCCACGUGUCAGUAGUGGCGAUACUACAAGUUUCUGGGCACUGCUAAGAUUACCAAGCUGUUGAAAAGUUUUCUAACAAUCCUCAACCAACCACAACAACAUUGGAAGAUUGAGAUGAUGCUGUGAGGAUUUGCCGAAGAUUUGAACAAGCUAUGAAGAGAGGAAAGAUUGAAGGAUCUAUCAAGAAUUCUAGAACAAUGAUGAUAGAUGAAUCAAAAGAAGACUCUGACGGUGGGAAAUCUUAAUUAUGUGGUCUAGCCAAGUCUCGCUGUAUCAUCAACUACUUCGAUGUCUUUGUCAAAGAUAGACAUUCAUUUGCCAUGUGGUAUAAUCUAGAUAAGAGAUGUGAUGUGAUGGUGGAGUCUUUGACCAUUUCAAUUGAAUAGUUGCAAGAAUUUCAAAUUGAACAGUUGCCAUGUGAGUUUAUUUACCAGUAUCCGCUAGAUUCCAGACUUUUACCUGACUCCGACAAAUCCCAUGCAACCACCAUUUUCUAGGUGGUUUAAUCCAGACAAGAGAUGUGAUGGUAGUGUUCUCAACCAUUUCAAUUGAGCAAUUGCAAGAAUUUCAUGAGGCGAGUCCAGAAGUUGGUGAACAAGAGACAAGUGGAGUCUGUGAAGGAUGGUGUCAUUGGCUAUAUUAUUCCCCGAACAUCUUCAGAAUGACAUGUGAUCGAAAAUGCUUGGCAAAACACAGAUAUUGCCAGAAAAGCUGAUUCAAGAAUGGUGAUGAACUUUCAAUCAUGUGUUAUGGAAUUCUGCAUUUUGUUUUGGGCUCACAUCUCAUCCUUCAACGAAACAUGCCUUGCUUUUGUCUCUUUGUUGUUUUGAAAUCAACAGAUGUUUAGCAUUUUAUUUCUGAUAAAAUAUUUUGAUCAAACUCCAACAUGUGAUAAAGGCUAAUCAAUCUUGAAGAUUAAAAGUGUUUUGAUUACAGAAAUGACUCGAUUCUUGUUGAAAUGACAUGAGGUGACCAAACAAAUUUUGAGCUCACACAUAAAAUUGAACCACACAUCAUGUAGCUAAGUUUUAGCAGUAUGCAUAAUGACAUGUAGUGGAUUCGGUAGUUAUGGACUCGUGAAUCAUGAUUCUUACAAGUCCAAAUCAUUAAACUGGAUGAGGUCAAAAUUUAUCGGUUUUAACUAACCUUGCUUGAAAUGAGAAAAGACCAUCUUUGAUAUCCCUUCACUUUCUAAAGAUUAUAUCCCUUGUAGUCCCAUUUUGAGCUGGAUAGAAUAUUUUUUUCAUGAAAACCUUGACUAGGAUCACACCCCACACUGGGGGCAGAUGAGAGAUAUUUUGAAGAAAUUGAUAUCAUUAAUGGAUAAAGGGGAAGGCUUAGAACAAAGAUCCAAUGAUUGAGAGAGAGCUAAAAGAAAACACAUAGACUGGGGGCAUGUAAGAAAUUUUUAAGGAAGGCUAUGAUGAAAAAAAAAAACAAUGAAAAAAGAAAAAGAAGAAGGAAAUUGCCUUCACUUAAAGACAAGUCAAAGAUAAAGGAAGGAGAACGCCUAUCAAGUCUAUGAAGAGCAAAAGAAAUUUCAAUCAAGGAAGGCACAACAAAAGUCAAUACCAGAAAAAGACUAAGCUAUAAACGUGACUUUUGGUGUCCAUUAUAAAGCCUCUGAUGUUAUCAGAUGAUUAAGGUUGGUUAUUCAUCAAGGAAAGGUGGAUUUGCAUUAUAACUUAUGUUAAGAAAAGUCUGAACUUUGAGGUUAACAAGGUUAUAUGUCGUUUCCUCUACCAAGACAACAAUAGAAAACAAGUUGAUGAAUAGUUGAUGUUGAUCCUAGGUCUUUGAAACCCUAAAACACCUUUUGAGCCUUUGAAAUUCCUUUCUUUCAUAGCCAUGAACCAUAGCCUGCAUUACAUGCUUUUAAAAGCCCUUUUUAAUCAAGCAAGCAAUUUGAACCGAUAAAUGACGCUCUCAAAAUUUGAAGAGUUUUUCCAUAAAGGUCGUGACUUCAUGAAUUAAGCUAUUGGUUAUUAUGCAUGCUGAUAAAAUAAGCUAUAAGAAGAGAAACAACCUUUCUUGAUAAAGCCUGAGCAUCUUGUUUUUGAAAUUCAUAAAAAUGUCACCUCAUCACAGACCGUCAAAAGAUAUACCCAAUAUCAAGAUCAAGGAUUCAAAUUGAUACAAAGAACCAUGGAAAAAGCCAUUUUUAAUCCUACAUUGGGUCAAUUUCUGUUUUCAAAAUGCAUGACAAUCAAAGGACUAUAUAUUUCGAAUAACGUGUGUUGGGUCUUUGAUCAAAACGCUUGAUUUUCAAAAGAUUUUCAAAAAGGACAUCUCUGAUUUCAUUUCAACAAACUAGACUUUGAAAAGACAUGAUCUUUGAAAUAUGAGAGUUGAUUCCAGAACAAGGAAGAUUAUCAAACGCAGAAGAACAUUGAUUGAGUAUGCAAAAUCGUUGAUAGAAAUGACAUUGAAGUCCUCGACACUCCUUGAAAAGUUGAGUAGCUGGGGGCAAUACAGUAGACCUUGAAAAGGAAAAACAAGAAGUGCUCAGAUCUGCUAUGAGGCAAUGAUUAAAUGAUGAAUCAGUGAACUGAAGACAAUGAUGUUCAAAGAUAGAUAAUCAAUGAAGCACAUUUAGAUCAUACUGGGGGCAAUGUCAUUCCAAAAUGGCCCAUGCUCUAGUGAACCCUGUCAGCAAUGGAGAAACAAAGAUGUACCUGAAGGAACACUUUCUUAUCAUCAUCUUUUGAAACAUGGCUAGCGAUCGAUGAGGAUACAUGAAUGAACGCAAUUGAAUGGCGAAAAGAUGCAUACCACCAAGACUGACUGUGGAACAAUGCUGCACUUAAAGGACAAUCUCAUAUUGUCAUUCUUUGAAUCAUGGUUAUAGACAGAUGUUAUCACACAACUGCACUGAAUGAGCGUCGGAAAGGCACCCACCCCGAAGACUGACUGUGUGGGACAAUUUGUUUUGAAGCCAGAUGAGCACUUCACCACAUGAGUAUGGGUGAUAAAAGCAGCAUCAUUGAUGAGGCUGAGACAUUUCUUUUCACAAUCUGAUUAGAAGAGUUGAAAGGAAUCUAUGAGAAGAGCACUGAGCAUACAACCAUGAGCCUUUGUACUGCAAGCUAUGAGAUGCAUGUCUGGAUGACUGAUUGAGUUCCAAGGAGGCUGAUGAUAACAUGUACUUGAAGAGUACUGUUUCAACUAAAGGUCAGUUCAUGACUGAUUAACAAUCUUGAUGGGUAUUGGCAUGAUGCACACAAUCAAUCAGAGGAUAAUUCUUAGAAGAAGUCAGGAGAGAAAAUCCUUCAUGAUGAAUCAAACAGUACCACACUUGGGGGCAGGGUCAAGCUUGAUGAACGAUGCAAGCAGUAAUUGUCGAAGACAGCCCUGGAUGGGCACUGCAUUUACAGUUGAGUGGAUGGCUAGCACAUGAAUGAGUCAAUGCAUCGGAAGAACAAAGAAAGCUUUGGGAUGCAAACAAGGGCACCCUAUGACGAUGGAGCAUCAAAGAGGGGGGACCUAUAUUUCAAAUCAGGUAAGGAUGAAUGCAUAUCAUCUAACCUCCAAAAAAAAAAAAAAAACCAUUUGCACAUAUUUUUCAAUUGUUACAGGAAAAUCCCAAAGAAAUGAAGAGAUCAACCUUGCAAUCGGGAAGCCUCGAGUUUUCAACUCUUGCAGUCAGGAAACACCGAGUUGUCAAAUCCUAUGAUUGGGAAUUAUCAGGAAGCACCAAGUUUUCCAGCCCUUCCUCUGUCAUCCCCUCAGGACUUUGCCAGGUAAGUCCUAUUUUUCACACUUGUCAUAUCACAUCUUCCAUUUAGGUUGGUCACCCAUGACAAUGAGACCGCGCUUUUCACAUUUUUUCCAUCCGGGUAGGUCACCCAUGACAAUGAUACCGCACUUCAUCAUAUUUUUUCCAUCUGGGUAGGUCACCCAUUACAAUGAGACCACACUUCAUAUUUUUUUUUUCCUUUUUGGGUAGGUCACCCAUUACAAUGAGACCGCACUUCACAUUCUUUCUAUUUGGGUAGGUCGCCCAUCACAACGAGACCACUUCAUCAUAUUUUGUCCAUCUGGGUAGGUCACCCAUUACAAUGAGACCACACUUCAUAUUUUCCCCCCUGGGUAGGUCACCCAUAAGAAUGAGACCAUUCUUCCUCCUUUCCACUUGGGUAGGUCACCCAUUAUAAUGAGACCACUUUUUACACAUUCUUUUGUUCCAGUUGAAUGAGGUCGCCAGAUGGGAUCUCAUGUAGCUUUGGUUAAAGGGAAUCUCCAUAUGGGAUUUCAGGUUGACCGAGUCACACACACAGGUUUUUUGGUUCUGGUUAGAGGGGAUUGCCGAAAGGAAUCUUAGUCUAUCCCAACCACACACAGGAUUUUGGUUCUGGUUAGAGGGGAUUGCCGAAGGGAAUCUCAGUCUAGCCCAACCACACAUUCCUUGGUUAUGGUUAAAGGGGAUCGGCGAAGGGAUCUCAGUUUAACCUAAUUGGAAAGGAUUUUGGUUCAGGUUGAAGGGGAUCGACGAAGGGAUCUCAGUUCAGUCUAACCACACAGAUUUUGGUUCUAGUUGAAGGGGAUCGGCGAAGGGAUCUCAGUUCAGCCCAACCACACACACCUUGGUUAUGGUUAAAGGGGAUCGGCGAAGGGAUCUCAGUUUAACCUAAUUGGAAAGGAUUUUUAGUUCUGGUUGAAGGGGAUCGGCGAAGGAAUCUCAGUUCAGUCUAACCACACAGACCUUGGUUAUGGUUAAAGGGGAUCGACGAAGGGAUCUCAGUUUAACCUAAUUGGAAAGGAUUUUGGUUCUGGUUGAAGGGGAUCGGUGAAGGGAUCUCAGUUUAGCUUAACCACACAGACCUUAGCUUUGGUUAAAGGGAAUCACUAGAUGGGAUUUCAGGUUGACCGAGCUACACACCGAUUUUUGUUCUUGUUCGAUCGCCAGAUGGGAUCUCAGGUAAACCCAAUAAAAGGGCAGGUCGUCCGUGAAAACAGACCAGUGUGAGUGUGUGGGCAGGUCACCCAUGAAAACAGACCAGUGUGAGUGUGUGGGCCGGUCGCCCCUGAAAAUAGACCACGUUGAGCACUUGUGGGCAGGUCGCCCGUGAAAACAGACCAGUGUGAGUGUGUGGGCAGGUCGCCCAAGAUAAUGAAAUCAUUUUUCUUUUAUUUUCUUUACAAAGCUUACUAUGCAAAAUAUUGAGGAGUUUUGCUUCGUAAGCAUUGUAAAGAGGGGGCGACUGUUGCUACCCAAUUUUUGACCCAUAUUUUUAUAAAUUUUUAGAAAAAUCCAAAAAUAGCAAAAAACAACAAAAAUCCAAAAAAAUAUAUUUUUAAUAUAUUUGCAUCAUUUUUAGCAUUUUCAACGUCGUCUAAAAAAAGAAUUUAAAUUUUCAAAGGUUUUUGGAACGCGUUCGACUUUUCACGCGUUAUUUUUAAAAUCAUUGAUUUUCCUCAUCGAGUCGACGUUGAUAUUGCUCGUUUUCAAAAAAUACAAAAAAAAAAAGAAAAAUCAAAAUUUACAAAUAAAAAGAGGAAAAGAGAAGGAAAGGAAACGUUGAGGGACUAGUUUGAAAACCUAGCAAAACUUUUUCCUAUAAAUACCAUGUUAUACUGACAUUUAGAGAGGGGGGGUUCAUUUGGUAAUUUUGGGGAAAGGCAACACAAGGGGGAAAACCCUAAAAAACUAACAGCUUCCUCUCCCUCAUGAAGGACCAGCCGCUAACCCCUGCUGGGUUUUGAUUUUUUCCAACCGCCGGCCACCCCCCGGGGAUUUUGAUCUUCUCCUCACAGCCGCUUGUAAACAAAACACAGAGACUCCCUUCUCACCCUCACGGUCCCCCCCCCACUUCUUCUUCCUUACCGGGCCAAACAACCCCUACCUUUUGAUUUUUCUCUUCUCCCUUAAACCUGCCAAACAGCCGCCGCCCAAGAGUUUUCUUCUCCAUUUUUUUUCCCAACGCUGCAGCCGCUCACUUCCCCUUCACCCUCGUCUACCACAGCCGGUGUUUCACCGGCACCACAGCAGCACCUCCACUUCACCCAUCGUAGCCACCGAACCAGCUCCCCCUCAGCCGUUCCUCCGUCCCUUGGCUAAACCACCACAACUCCCCCUCUUGGUCCUCUGAUUUUCUCUACCCGGCCGGCCAAACGAUAGCAGCAACAAGAUCUGCCAUCGGCAGAAGAAGAAACCCACCGCUGGAAACAGAGAACAACGGGGAAACAACAGCAGCGACGACCCCAUCCUCGUGCAGCAGCGCCGUGUUCCCCCAGCAGCGCCACCCCCUCGCGGCCGUCACACCUUCUCGCCGCC
rnacentral:lncRNA from 1 species